GAAAUGCGAUAAGUAGUGUGAAUUGCAGAAUUCAGUGAAUCAUCGAAUCUUUGAACGCACAUUGCGCCCCUCGGCAUUCCGGGGGGCACGCCUGUUCGAGCGUCAUCUCAACCCUCAAGCCCUGCUUGGUGUUGGGCGUCUGUCCCGCCCCCGCGCGCGGACUCGCCCCAAAGGCAUUGGCAGCGGACCCGCCUCCCCUCGCGCAGCACACUUGCGCCUCCCGGGGCGGCGCGGGCUCGCGUCCACGAAGCGACCUUUCGCCGUUUUGACCUCGGAUCAGGUGGGGAUACCCGCUGAACUUAAGC
rnacentral:misc_RNA from 1 species